rnacentral:rRNA from 1 species
UACGUAGGCAGCGAGCGUUAUCCGGAAUCACUGGGCGUAAAGGGUGCGUAGGCGGUUAUGCUAGUCUUUCGUUAAAACCCCCGGCUCAACCGGGGAGCGGCGAGGGAAACGGCAUUUCUAGAGGAUGUGAGAGGUGUGCGGAACUCAUAGUGUAGGGGUGAAAUCCGUUGAUAUUAUGGGGAACACCAAAUGCGAAGGCAGCACACUGGCACACUCCUGACGCUGAGGCACGAAAGCAUGGGUAG